rnacentral:rRNA from 1 species
CGGCAAAAGCUCAAAUUUGAAAUCUGGCUCUUUUAGGGUCCGAGUUGUAAUUUGUAGAAGAUGUUUCGGGUGUGGCUUCGGUUUAAGUUCUUUGGAAUAUUACAUCAUAGAGGGUGAGAAUCCCGU